rnacentral:lncRNA from 1 species
GCAGUGAUGUCAACCGCAUCCGCCGCAGUCCCCGGCAGCCCUAAAACGCGCCGCGGCCCGCGGAAACCCCAGCCCGGCUCCUCCCGCCAGGGCCGAGGAGGAGAGGACGCGCGGGUCCCCGGAGUCCCCCACUCCGUCUGCCUAAGCCGUGGAGACCGGGAGUGGACGCACGGCGGUGCCUGGACCCCCGGGGAGGUGGAAGAAGAGGAGAGGGAAGGGAGCUGUGGAGUCAGGUGUCGAUUUGACGCCCGCGGCCGCCGAGGGGACUCUGCCCGGCACUGGUGCCGCCUGGGGGGCGUUCAGGGAGCGUGGGGCGCCGACCGCUGCAGAUGCGGCGGCGCGCGUGGGCUCGGGCAGGCGCCCCCUUUUCCCGGGAUAGAAACGGAUAAACGGAAGCGCGUGUGAGUGUGGGGGUGCGAAUCGCCACCUCCGGCCUUGGCUUUCCCGCUCUUCCGAGCUCUCCCACUUCUCACUUUCCCCAAAUCCGCAUUUUCCUUGGCACAGCUCUCCCCGAGCACGAAGGAGAGGGAGGUACCCGGGGGCAGUGAGAAUGACGUGUGCUGGUGCAGAGGGGGUGGGGGUCUGCGGGCCUGGAUCUGUGGACGGGCUCCUAAUCCUCUUGUUUUCGGAACCGUCAGCAGAUGCGGCUUCCUUUACCUGAAUAAUCCUUUAAAGGAGUAAUAAUUUUUAAAAAGGAGCUCGACCUCAGCCAAAGAGGACGGCGCACGAGAUUAGGGCUUGAUCCACUGCCUUUGGUUGGGCCGGCUGAAUCGCUGGGGACUGCGGCCAGUCUCUUAAAAAAGGAGAACAAAAAGCCGAAGACCUUGUGUGGCCGCCGGGACAAAGCACCUUGGGUUCGGCGAGAAGGGACGCGCAGGAGCGCUGAACCCAGAACACGCGUGGCCGCUGCGGAAGGGCGUCCGCCCGGCGUGCGGAACGCUGAGGGGACUCUCAUCCUCUGUCUCGCCCCCUUUUUUUGACCCGGGGAUCCAGCCGCAUUAUACACGAGUGACCUUUUAAAUCUACGUCCACCCUUUACCUGCGAGAGGACUGCAGCAGGCGAGUUCCGGAAGGCUGAAUCCCCAGGUCCCAGCCCCGGACCGCGGCAACUCGCCCCUGCGGCACGCCCGGCCCGGCUGCGCCCCCACUCAGCGAUGGAGGAAAAAGCCUGGAUGCGAAAGGAUGGGGGAGAACAAAGAGCCUUUGGAAGACGUCGCUGUUAUCUCAUUGUCUGUGUGAUUGGGGGAGCUGCGGCGGGGAGGAUGCUGUGGUCCCUUCCUCCGGCGUUCCCCACCCCCAUCCCUCUCCCCGCUGUCAGUGCGCACGCACACGCGCCGCUUUUUAUUUCUUUUUCCUGGUUUUCUUAUUCCAUCUUCUACCCACCCCUCUUCCUUUCUUUCACCUUUCCUUCCUUCCUUCCUCCUUUCCUUCCUCAGGAGAAAGGCCUCUCUCUCCGUGUUCACAGCGGACCUU